rnacentral:rRNA from 1 species
AUUGAACGCUGGCGGCAGGCUUAACACAUGCAAGUCGAGCGGGGGAGGUUGCUUCGGUAACUGACCUAGCGGCGGACGGGUGAGUAAUACUUAGGAAUCUGCCUAUUAAUGGGGGACAACAUCUCGAAAGGGAUGCUAAUACCGCAUACGCCCUACGGGGGAAAGCAGGGGAUCACUUGUGACCUUGCGUUAAUAGAUGAGCCUAAGUCGGAUUAGCUAGUUGGUGGGGUAAAGGCCUACCAAGGCGACGAUCUGUAGCGGGUCCGAGAGGAUGAUCCGCCACACUGGGACUGAGACACGGCCCAGACUCCUACGGGAGGCAGCAGUGGGGAAUAUUGGACAAUGGGGGGAACCCUGAUCCAGCCAUGCCGCGUGUGUGAAGAAGGCCUUAUGGUUGUAAAGCACUUUAAGCGAGGAGGAGGCUCUUUUGGUUAAUACCCAAGAUGAGUGGACGUUACUCGCAGAAUAAGCACCGGCUAACUCUGUGCCAGCCGCCGCCGUAAGAC